rnacentral:misc_RNA from 1 species
UACGUAGGGUGCAAGCGUUAAUCGGAAUUACUGGGCGUAAAGCGCGCGUAGGCGGCUUGAUAAGCCGGGUGUGAAAACCCCGGGCUCAACCGGGGAACGGCACCCGGAACUGUCAGGCUAGAGUGCAGGAGAGGAAGGCAGAAUUCCCGGUGUAGCGGUGAAAUGCGUAGAGAUCGGGAGGAAUACCAGUGGCGAAGGCGGCCUUCUGGACUGACACUGACGCUGAGGUGCGAAAGCGUGGGUAGCAAACAGG